CAUUAGCUCAGUGGUUAGAGCAGAGGACUCAUAAUCCUUUGGUCCUAAGUUCAAAUCUUAGA
rnacentral:tRNA from 1 species